UGUUUUUCUCACCCCUCAGGUGGUGUUAAGUGCAGGGGGCAUGCUCAGUACCCUGCUUUUGCUCCUGACACCCCGUUUUUGCUCCUGGCUCUUCAGAAAUGGCAGUUGGGUUUUUUUUUUGGUCUUUUUGUAUCUUUGGGGUCCAGAAUUUGCCCCAACUGCGCAGGCCCGCAGUUAUUUUUAGUCCCAUAUAGUUUCUUUGUGUUUUGUAGCUCGAGGGGAGGUGUGUCCAGGUGCAAGCUUCGCGGCCCUGCAGCAAAGGGUCUCAGGUCCCAGGCCUGCCUCACUGUGAGUCCCCAAGAGUGUCGUGAGAGCUGAUGGAUGCUGGGCGUGGGUGCGCAGGGGGGCGGCAGUGCCUGAAUGAGGAGGAACUAUAGAACUGGGGACUGAGGCAACCUGAUGAAUGAAGGCUUUAAUGCAGUCUGGCUAGUAACUGGCUGACCCAACCAUCAGGUGCGAUUUAGGGUGAAGCAGGCAUUCGUUUGGGCAUUUUGUUUCUCCAGUGACUAUUCGCAAUUAACACCUCCUCUUGUAAAAACCCUAACACCUUUCCCCAGCUACCUCCCCUGCUCAGACCUGCUUCUCUUUGGAAAAUGGGGAAUGGUGUGUCUGUGUAGCCCUAUGUGUGUGUGUGUGUGUGUGUGUGUGUGUGUGUGUGCAUGAAAGCAUCUCAUGUGUGAGGACGUGUGUGUAUAAAUGGGAGUGCCUGUGCUUGUACCUUCAUGAAAAUAUCUGCUGGUGCCGUGUAUGGGAGAGCCUGUGUGCAUGAGACUGUGUGCCUCUGUGCACAUGGGGGAACACGGAUGCAUGCAUGUUCGCAUGUGUCCAGGAGAGUCAGUGGGUCUUUAUGAGUGUGAGUGACUGUGAGGUGUGUGAGUGUUUGCAGUGAGUGUGCAUGGGAUUCUGUGCAAAUGACCGGCAUGAUUGUCUUUGCAGGGGAGAAGUUGUUGCGCUGGGAUACUUACAUGAACCAAAGCAAUAAAAUGCCCAACUCCUCUCCCUGCUUCUCCUCUUGUAAUCCAUUCUCCACCCAGCAGCCAGUGUGAGAUUUAAAAAAUGCAAAUCAGAUCGUGUCACUUCUAGGCUGAAAACCCUCUGAUGGCUACUCACUGCAUCUGGAAUAAAUCCAACCUUUGACUGUGGCCUGGAGGAUGUGCUCCCAUCCCAAUCUUUGAACCUUUGUCUUCAUCUCCUCCCACUCCUCAGGCAGGCACCCCUGCCUCAGUCACAUAGGCAAGAGCCUUUAUACCUGCUGCCCCCUUCUCCGGACCCCUUGGCUGCCGGGCACUGUCUCGGCUCCAGAUUUCAGCCUGACAUUAUCAGUGGGGCCUUCCCUGACUCCCCUCAGUACUCAUCUGUCCCAUCACUCCGACUUCUUUCCUCCCCAGGGCUAGGUCAGUUAGGUCUGAAGCGGGUGCUGAGACAGAGUUAGUUGUGCCCAGGAGUUUGUGUGGAGCAGCCCCUGGGAAGGAGUAGAGAGAACUCCAGAUUGGGCAGGUCAGGGAGAGGCCAGCAGACCACAGUACAGAUCUGAUAAGGUCUCUGCCAGCAGCCUCCUAUGUGCACGGAGCAAAGACUGUCCACUAGAGGAGUCCUGAAUUAGGUGGAAAUGGCUAACCUUAUACCAUAGCCGGCUCAGUCAAGGGCCGGAACCAUCAACUCAAAAGCCAAGGUUCAAGAGAAUGAGAAGACAAACCACAGAUGAGAAAACACUUGCAAAAGACAGAUCUCAGGAAGGACUGGCCUCCAAAAUAUACAAAGAACUCUUAAAACUCAAUAAUAAGUUGAUUUAUAAAAAAUGGGCCAAAGACCUAAACAGACACCUCGCUAAAGAAAACAUACAGUUGGCAAAUCCAGAACGCUGACACCACCAAAUGCUGGUGAGAAUGUGGAGCAACAGGAACUCUCAUUCAUUGCUGUUGGGAAUCAAAAUGGUACAGCCACUUUGGUGUUUUUUUAAUAAAACUAAACAUACUCUUCCCACACGAUUCAGCCAUCACGCUCCUUAGUAUUUACCCAAAGGAGUUGAAACUUAUGUCUACACAAAAACCUGCACACAGAUGCUUAUAGCAACUUUAUUCAUAACUGCCAAAACUUGGAAGCAACCAAGAUGUCUUUCAAUAGGUGAAUGGAUAAAUAAACUGUCGGACAUCCAGACAAUGGAAUAUCAUUCAGCACUAAAAAAAGAAAUGAGCUUUCAAGCCCUGAAAAGACCCAGAGGAAUCUUUUUUUUUUUUUAAGUUCCUCUGCCAACCUUGCAGGCCCCCAUUCCAGCUUCCUCCCAACCCAUCGAACUUCUAGGAAGAAUUCACCAACAAAUGACAGCUAUGAUCUGCUCUGUAAGCCCUGUCCUGUUGUAAAUAUGUCCCCUGACACCCAGCCGAGGAGAAGAAAAUUCAAGAGUGGAGAGAGAAGCAAAUCCUGGAUGUCUCAGCAGCACCUCCUACCAAGCUUAAUCUCACCUCCUUUGGUGUCAGAGUGAAGCAAGAGAAAGACGUCUUCCCUCUCUGUCUCCAGGGAUGGACUUGAGGGGAGUCCAUAGACUGUGUGCUGCAUUUCCAUUUCCCAGGCCGUGAUUAAAACUUUCAGAGGCACCAAGCUCCGAGAAGAUUAGGCCAUCUCCACCUCCCUGAGCAGUACAAAAGAAAUCAAUACUAAGCCACAAAAUAAGUGUGAGGAAGCCCUUUAACGUUUUCAAUUCUCCCAUGAUGACUAUUUUGAAGUUUUGUAUUUUUUAAAAUAUAAAAUGCAAAAUUCUUAAA